CGUAGGGUGCGAGCGUUAAUCGGAAUUACUGGGCGUAAAGCGUGCGCAGGCGGUUUUGUAAGACAGGCGUGAAAUCCCCGGGCUCAACCUGGGACCUGCAUUUGUGACUGCAAGGCUAGAGUACGGUAGAGGGGGAUGGAAUUCCGCGUGUAGCAGUGAAAUGCGUAGAUAUGCGGAGGAACACCGAUGGCGAAGGCAAUCCCCUGGACCUGUACUGACGCUCAUGCACGAAAGCGUGGGGAGCAAACAGGAUUAGAUACCCUGGUAGUCCACGCCCUAAACGAUGUCAACUGGUUGUUGGGUCUUUACUGACUCAGUAACGAAGCUAACGCGUGAAGUUGACCGCCUGGGGAGUACGGCCGCAAGGUUG
rnacentral:rRNA from 1 species